rnacentral:rRNA from 1 species
AACGAACGUUGGCGGCAUGCCUAACACAUGCAAGUCGAACGAGACCUUCGGGCCUAGUGGCGCACGGGUGCGUAACGCGUGGGAACCUGCCCUUAGGUUCGGAAUAACUCCCCGAAAGGGGUGCUAAUACCGGAUAAUGUCUUCGGACCAAAGAUUUAUCGCCUUUGGAUGGGCCCGCGUUGGAUUAGCUAGUUGGUAGGGUAAAAGCCUACCAAGGCGACGAUCCAUAGCUGGUCUGAGAGGAUGAUCAGCCACGCUGGAACUGAGACACGGCCCAGACUCCUACGGAAGGGAGCAGUGGGGAAUAUUGGACGAGGGGCGAAAGCCUGAUCCAGCAAUGCGGCGUGAGUGAUGAAGGCCUUAGGGUUGUAAAGCUCUUUUAGCCGGGAUGAUAAUGACAGUACCGGGAGAAUAAGCUCCGGCUAACUCCGUG